rnacentral:lncRNA from 1 species
AGAAAUUGAGAUUUGCUGAUGGAAGAAGCAGAAGAACAUGGGAACUGCGACUCAGCAUGCGGAAGUCAAUGCAAAAUCAUGCUGCCAUGUUCCGUGUGGGAAGCGUGUUGCAAGAAGGUUGUGGGAAAAUCAGCAAGCUCUACAGAGACCUGAAACACCUGCAGAUGUUUGACCGGGGAAUGGUCUGGAACACGGACCUGGUGGAGACCCUGGAGCUGCAGAACCUGAUGCUGUGUGUGCUGGAGACCAUCAAUGGAGCAGAGGCGCGGAAGGAGUCAUGGGGCGCGUACGCCAGGGAAGAAUACAAGGUGUGGAUUAAUGAGUACGAUCACUCCAAGCCCAUCCAGGGGCAGCAGAAGAAGCCCUUUGAGGAGCACUGGAGGAAGCACACCCUGUCCUAUGUGGACGUCAGCACUGGGAAGUGCACAGCCAGAGAACAACACAUCACACACAGGAAACAGUUGUGCUCAUGUGAUGGGGGCCUCAGCACUAGGAAGGAGUGGACUAUUGGCGCAUGUAGCAGCUUGAAUAAAUCUGAAAGUCACUACACUGCGUAAGAGAAGCCAAAUAAAAAAGUUCAUGCUGUGUACAGAGGGUGUUGAGAAUGCCUCCUACGUGACGGAAAGCAGAUCCGUGGUUCCCUGCAGACCGGCAGGAGCAGAUUCCAAAGGCACAGGAAGAAGCUUGCAGUACAAAGAUAAAAAUCUAAAGUGGUUGCUGUGGAGGACAGGGGUCAGUGGUGGAAGUGAGACUGAAAUGGACUCUGAAGUAAUAUCUGGACUUUGAAAUUGUUGCCUGUUCACUCUGGCUAGUCAUAUGCAGAAAACUGAAACUAGACCCCUUCCUGACACCUUAU